rnacentral:rRNA from 1 species
UACGUAGGGGGCAAGCGUUGUCCGGAUUUAUUGGGCGUAAAGGGCGCGCAGGCGGCCACGCACGUCCGUUGUGAAAUCGCCCGGCUCAACUGGGCGGGGUCAGCGGAUACGGCGUGGCUGGAGCAAGCUAGGGGGCAAUGGAAUUCCCGGUGUAGUGGUGGAAUGCGUAGAUAUCGGGAGGAACACCAGUGGCGAAGGCGGUUGCCUGGAGCUUUGCUGACGCUGAGGCGCGAAAGCGUGGGGAGCGAUCCGG